AUACUUCCUUUUUAAUUUUCUUUUUUCUUGUAUAUAGGUCCAAAUCCUACCAAGAAACCAGCUCCAAAACCUAAGCCAGAAAAUCCUGGUACAGGUGGUGGAAGCUUUUCUGAUGCUGAUCUUCUAGGUGACAAUGAAUUACCAAAUGAGCCUCAACCAGGUGAAGAUGGUAACCCCAGUGGCCGUGCAUCCAAAGCAUCUGCUGGUGGAGAACAGCAGAAUGAUGAAGGGGCUAAACCAAAUGUAAUAGCCGGCAUACUGAGUGCAGUCGGCGUGGCUGCUUUUGGUGCUGUGACAAGUUUCAUUGCUUACCAGAAGAAAAAGCUUUGCUUUAAAGGAGCAAGUGAAGACCCAGAAAAUGUAAACAUGGAUAAUAAAGGAGACCAAGUAGAUCCACAAGCACAAAAUACCCUUCUCCCUAAAUAAUCCUGGCAACUACAAAGAAAAUCCUUGAUGGUAGUCUUUAAUUAAACCUGAAAAUUCACAAAGGAAGGCACAAGAAAAAUGUUAGCAAUGUUGUCAGAGUUAUUUUGUGGACUUCUCUGUAAAUGUGUCUUCUCCACUGUGUGGUGUAGAUCUGUAUACUGGAAACUACGUGGGACGUGCAUUGACAUAUGCAAGUUUAUUCACUAAGUGACAAGUGAGAAUAGCUGAGAAUGCAAACCGAUGUUCAAAUUUAAGGCCAAAUAGUUAAACUGGCAGCAGAAUUAAUUUUUUAUUUUUUUUUUGUCUAUUUUGACCUAAAUUUUGGAAUUUCCAGCAAUUCUCAUUUUAGUAAAUAGCCUGGCAAGGUGCACUUUUUUAAAAUUUUAUUUUUGUUGGAUUUUAGUCAGUUUUUUUGUUUUGUUAUAACAAGAAAUUAUCUGCCUUUGGCUCUGCAGCUGCUUUAACUAAAGCUAACACAAAGUUCCACCAGGAUACCUGUGGAAUAUCAUGAUACUUUUAGUCCCUUGCUGCUGGUGAAUCAGAGCUAGUCACUUUGUUUAAAAUGCUUGUAUUUGAUAAGAUUUUGUUUUGUUUUACUGAUGAAGUACCUUAAACACACCUAAUAGUUUUUGUCCAUCUUGUUGCCACAAUCCUCAAAUCCCCCAUAUGUACAAGAUCACCAAAAAAAUUCGAAACAUUGGCAUAUUAUCAUAUUAUACGUUUGAAUUCUUUAGAAGACCCUACAUGAUUUUUAUGGCUUUUAAACGGUUUCCUAACCUGUUGUUACUUUUUUAACUUUAUAUCUGUACACAUAGCUAUUUGUAUGUUUUUUUUUUUUAAUUUGCUGAAUGUUCUGAAAUCCUAGAUGCAUUGCUCAUUAAAAUACUUCUUUUGUAAAGAAUCAUCUGACACCAUGCCUCCAGUGGUGUACUAUGGAAAGUAGAGAAGGAUUCCAAUCAACAUCACACAUAUAAAUGUAACCGGGCAUCCAAUUUUUUUAAUUUUUUUUUUUACAUUUAAUAUUUCUGUAGCAUGUGAUUAUGUACUCUCAAAAGGUGUAACUGCGCCCGUACAAAUAUUGGAAAGUUUAAUUCAUGGAAAUUCAAAGUGACUUUCAAAUUUAAGACUAACCGUUUCAACAAUUACCACUUUAGUGAAAAGUCCUGAGUGAAUGUCAAAUACUUGGCAAACUAGACUUCCCAGAAACAGUCAUUCACUGAAUUGUGAAUUGAUUGGAAUUUAGUGAAUUUAAACUUUUAGGCCAACAUAGCUAAAGUGACAACCUAGCUGAAUGGAUUGGAUUUGUAAAAAUAAAAAUUUCAAUUGGUCUGUUCUACUAGACUAAAUUUUUGUAAAUUAAUUUUUAAUUCCUAGUUCACACUUUAUCGAAUUAACCAGAGUAAGCUGCUAGCAAUUUUAUUUUGUGGGGGAGGUUAGCUGUAGUUUGUUAGCAGAGGAUGCCCAUUCAUUAUGCUAAAUCUAUUAACAUGUACUAUUACCUCUGUUUUGUUGUCUUAUAUCCAUUCGUCUCCAAAUAUAAAACUUCUGGUUAGUCACAUACCUUUACAUGCCACGUCUUUGAAAUAAAAGGUGAAACUCUAA